AGGAAGGAGCCAGCACGGUGGGGAGCUGUUUCACCAGGGGAGUGUUCUCAGCAGCUGCCACACGUGGAGUUGUGGAGGAUCUUGGCAGUGGACUGCCACGGGAGCUCUGGGGAAAAAGGACCAGUUGGACUCCAGUACCUCCUGAGAGACCACCACCCUCCAUGCCUCCAGCUCAUGCCCAGCUCUGAGUCAGACGGACUCUUCCUGUUGUACUGCGAGGUUCUGCAAACCUUGAAGGGCAAACACAGUGAGGGUCUCUGACUUGCUGUGUGGACAGCCCACUCUCUGACAGCCCAGAUCAUCUGAAGCUAUCCCUGGGCUGGGAGCUGGAAGCCAUUCUUGUGAACCACUCCUUAUACCUUGAGCGAAGCCUCUUUGGGUCCCAGAAGUCUGAAGCUCCAGCUGCCUGGCAAGACUGAGUCUAGAUGAUUUCUUGGGUACCAGUAGUUUGGCAUUUAAAAAUACUGGAUUAACUGCAGUGUAAACUUAGAUUGCAUUUCAGAUUGUAAACAAUAACCCCCGUGCUUCAUGUGAUGUUAAAUCAGAAAUGAGCUAUUAGCCAAGCUAGUCCUCUUAUGAAUGAGCCCCUAACCCUGAUCCAGGGAUCGUUGAAUGAAAAUCAUCAAAAUGAUUUAUCUUCACUUUACCUAUUGUCUCACAAGAAUCUCAUCACUCAGGGAAAAGGAGGGUGUUCUUCAGGGAACGGAGGGCAUGAGGAAGGGGGAUUUCCUUAUAUCUCAACUUUCAGAGGGAGCUGAGUUGUAAACAGAUGGAACAAGGUGUGUACGAGAAGCCUCUUAGAUUUAGUCUUUCAUAUCAAGGCUCUUGCUGAAAAUCCUGGCACAGCUGUGAAAUGAGGGGAGCUCUGACACACAGAGACACGCUCCUUGCCUCACCAACCUUCCCAUACACAGUCAUGCGCACAGAGAGCAGGUACCAAUACUGAAAAUGCCCUUCCGGAGUUUCCUCAGCUUAAACCCUUGACAGCAUUAAGUGAGGAAGGAGUUUCCUUGACCUGGGGAAGAAGAACCAACUCAUAAACAUGGAACUGUGCCCACUGCCUUUUCCUUUGCUCUGUGGAUUGGCUGUGGUUCUGCCCUGGCACUCGGAUGUCAAGUUGCUCUGGCUGUUUGGGAGGAAGCCCAGCCUGGGUCAGGUGGUCAUAAGCCAGAGGCCCUGUCCUGUCCCCAGGGUUGGCCUCCCUCUGGGGUCCAGCAUGGCCCCAGUGCUGAGGCUCCCACUGCUGGGGAAUGUGCCCUCUCCUCUCUUUGUUUCCAUACCAAGGGGAUCUGCAGGGUAGAGGGCAAAUUAUUCUUAGCAGAUUGGGGCUAUGGGUAAACCAGAAGGGAUGAGGGAGAGAGGAGAGAGGAGAGGAAAGGGAAGGAGAGGGGAGGGCAGGGGAUAGGUAGAGGAGAGAGACAGCAAGAAAAAAUAGAAAAAAAAAAAAAGGAAAUAAAGGUUGCAUAUACAAAGGGAGAUUAACAAGGAGUAGAAGAAGGGAGGCAGAAGAGGGAGAAACAGAGAAGAGGAACAAAGAAGACAUUUCCAAAAAAGACGUGAGCACACCAGGCAGGAGGGAGAAAAGGAACAAGGAGAAAGGAAGGAAGUGAGACAAGCUGGGGAGAGAAGAGGCAAAGGCAGCCAGGAGCAGGCAUAGGGGAGAGAGGAGUGGGAAGCCCCAGGGGGUACAAGGAAAAAAAUGAGGGAAGCCAGUGGGAGGAAGGUGAGGAAGAGGAGAGGGAACAGGCACUGGGUGGGGAAGAGGCGAGCAGGAGAAAGCCUGUGCUGUGUGGAUUAUUGUGUGUUUGUCAUCUGGAAUGGUAUAAGCUGUAGGUACAGCAGCUCCCGCCCAUGAUUUAUGGUCCCUGUCAGGCAGGGACCGCGCUUUGUCUGCUGUAGCGUGGACGAUGAAUGCUCCGCUGUCAUCCCAGCCUGGCCGGCCUUUCUCUCUCUCUGCUCCCAACGCUGGCUCCCCAUUUCACGCCAGUGAACAUAAGCAAUCUUUUGUAAACCUGACAGUCACACUUGCUUCUUUGGAAACAUAAAGCAGAAAUGUAUGACUCGGCUUUCAUUACCCAAUUUCCUACGCUAUAUAAAAACACUCAGGAAAGACAUGUAAGUGGUCACGAAACCUGGGAAAUUGGAAGUGUCCUGGA
rnacentral:lncRNA from 1 species